GGACGAACGCUGGCGGCGUGCUUAACACAUGCAAGUCGAACGGAAAGGCCCCUUUGGGGGUACUCGAGUGGCGAACGGGUGAGUAACACGUGAGUAACCUGCCCUUGACUUCGGGAUAACUUCAGGAAACUGGGGCUAAUACCGGAUAGGAAUCCUUGCUGCAUGGUGGGGGUUGGAAAGCUUCGGCGGUUUUGGAUGGACUCGCGGCUUAUCAGCUUGUUGGUGGGGUAGUGGCUUACCAAGGCUUUGACGGGUAGCCGGCCUGAGAGGGCGACCGGCCACAUUGGGACUGAGAUACGGCCCAGACUCCUACGGGAGGCAGCAGUGGGGAAUAUUGCACAAUGGGCGGAAGCCUGAUGCAGCAACGCCGCGUGCGGGAUGACGGCCUUCGGGUUGUAAACCGCUUUCAGCAGGGGCGAAGCUUUUGUGACGGUACCUGCAGAAGAAGCACCGGCUAACUACGUG
rnacentral:rRNA from 1 species